rnacentral:misc_RNA from 1 species
GAUGAAGAACUUAGCGAAAUGCGAUAAGUAAUGUGAAUUGCAGAAUUCAGUGAAUCAUCGAAUCUUUGAACGCACAUUGCGCCCCCUGGUAUUCCGGGGGGCAUGCCUGUUCGAGCGUCAUUUCACCACUCAAGCCUCGCUUGGUAUUGGGCAACGCGGUCCGCCGCGUGCCUCAAAUCGACCGGCUGGGUCUUCUGUCCCCUAAGCGUUGUGGAAACUUUCGCUAAAGGGUGUUCGGGAGGCUACGCCGUAAAACAACCCCAUUUCUAAGGUUGACCUCGGAUCAGGUAGGGAUACCCGCUGAACUUAAGCAUAUCAAUAAGCGGAGGA